AUGAACCUCUGGACGCUUGAGGGGGCGGGGGAAGCCAUUGGUGACAAGGUGAUCGUCGAUCGCUUGGACAGCCGGACGCACGAGCGCGUCGACACCAAGCUCUUCGCAUGUUGGGUCUGGUGCUGGGACACUGCCCAUAUCCCCACUACGCACCAUUUGGAAGCACGCCAGGGGGCGGGCCGCAUCGACGAGAUGCUGGGCCACUCCCCUCCGAGCCGCGCGGUGGCUCCUCCGCCUGAGCUGCUGCAGUUUGACUUGCUCCUUCAUUUGGACCGUGUCGAGGACUGG
rnacentral:rRNA from 1 species